UGUGUCAGCCGCCGCGGUAAUACGUAGGUGGCAAGCGUUAUCCGGAAUUAUUGGGCGUAAAGCGCGCGUAGGCGGUUUCUUAAGUCUGAUGUGAAAGCCCCCGGCUCAACCGGGGAGGGUCAUUGGAAACUGGGGAACUUGAGUGCAGAAGAGGAGAGUGGAAUUCCAUGUGUAGCGGUGAAAUGCGCAGAGAUAUGGAGGAACACCAGUGGCGAAGGCGGCUCUCUGGUCUGUAACUGACGCUGAUGUGCGAAAGCGUGGGGAUCAAACAGGAUUAGAUACCCUGGUAGUCCACGCCGUAAACGAUGGAUACUAGGUGUAGGGGGUAUCGACCCCCCCUGUGCCGGAGUUAACGCAAUAAGUAUCCCGCCUGGGGAGUACGGUCGCAAGACUGAAACUCAAAGGAAUUGACGGGGGCCCGCACAAGCAGCGGAGCAUGUGGUUUAAUUCGAAGCAACGCGAAGAACCUUACCAGGGCUUGACAUCCCGAUGACCGGUACAGAGAUGUACCUUCCCUUCGGGGCAUUGGAGACAGGUGGUGCAUGGUUGUCGUCAGCUCGUGUCGUGAGAUGUUGGGUUAAGUCCCGCAACGAGCGCAACCCCUAUCCUUAGUUGCCAUCAGUUAAAGCUGGGCACUCUAAAGAGACUGCCGGGGAUAACUCGGAGGAAGGUGGGGAUGACGUCAAAUCAUCAUGCCCCUUAUGUCCUGGGCUACACACGUGCUACAAUGGCCUGUAACAGAGGGAAGCGAAGCCGUAAGGCGGAGCAAAACUCAGAAACCAGGUCCCAGUUCGGAUUGUGGGCUGCAACUCGCCCACAUGAAGUCGGAGUUGCUAGUAAUCGCGAAUCAGCAUGUCGCGGUGAAUACGUUCCCGGGCCUUGUACACACCGCCCGUCACACCAUGGAAGUUGGGGGGACCCGAAGCCGGUGACCUAACCUUUUAGGGAGGAGCCGUCGAAGGUAAACUCGAUGACUAGGGUGAAGUCGUAACAAGGUAACCA
rnacentral:rRNA from 1 species